rnacentral:tRNA from 1 species
GUGACUAUAGCUUAAUGGGUAGAGCUUUUGAUUUCUAACUUAGUGUCAAGGGUUCAAACUUCACUUUAGACA